CACGUAGUUAGCCGUGGCUUUCUGAUAAGAUACCGUCAAGACUGUAGCAGUUACUCUACAAUUUGUUCUUCUCUUAUAACAGAGUUUUACGACCCGAAGGCCUUCUUCACUCACGCGGCAUUGCUCCGUCAGGCUUUCGCCCAUUGCGGAAGAUUCCCUACUGCUGCCUCCCGUAGGAGUUUGGGCCGUGUCUCAGUCCCAAUGUGGCCGAUCACCCUCUCAGGUCGGCUAUGCAUCAUCGUCUUGGUAGGCCAUUACCCCACCAACUAACUAAUGCACCGCAAGGUCAUCUAUAAGUGACAGCAGAGCCGUCUUUCAAUCUUCUUCCAUGCGGAAGAAGAUAUUAUGCGGUAUUAGCACCCGUUUCCGAAUGUUAUCCCCCGCUUAUAGGUAGAUUCCUUACGUGUUACUCACCCGUUCGCCGCUAACGUCAGAAGUGCAAGCACUUCAUCUGUUCGCUCGACUUGCAUGUAUUAGGCAUGCCGCC
rnacentral:rRNA from 1 species